UCUUACUUCUUGCCUCACGGUGUAUUGGUGUCUUCUACUGCUAAUAUAACCGUGAUUAAUUUUUCUUUUCUUUUUUUAUCACUACAAGCAGUAUUAUGAGUGCGGCUCUGUUCUGAGUGACAAUUACCUCAGCACAGCCUCGACCAAUCAGCACCAAGUAUUCAAGUCACGUGAUACUCUCUCCUCGCCGUCUCCUCAGCCAUUCGCCCUGCGCCCGCUGACGGGAUGUGAUGGGUCUCCGGUUGUGUUGCAGCGGUGAGGUGGUGUUGCAUCUUUUCUCAGCGGGCGUGUUCUGGUGGAGGGAGAGGUGGAUAGGAGAUAAUUGGUGGGCUGUGUGUGGUGAGUGCUACAUUGUCUGUGAGGGACCCCCAGAGCCACACAGCACCAGCUGCAACAGCUACAGCAGCAGCAGCAGCAGCAGCAGCAGCAGCAGCAGCAGCAGGAGGAGGAGGAGGAGGAAAUGGCAUCCACCUUCUACCUCACCCAGUGUCACCGGGGCCUCCUCCUCCAGCAGCUGGCCAGGGUGCAGGGACAGGAUGAGCAAGUUGAGGAGUGGUGGUGGUGGUAGAAUUGAUAGCAAUGUUCAGUAUAGUAGUAAAAAUGCUAGUAGAGCUCCUGGAUUAUAUAUUUUUAGUAGUAUAGUAGUAGUAGUAGUAGUUCCAGCAUUUGUUGAAAUAUACUGGUAAUUAUACACUAAUAAUAAUAAUAAUAAUAAUAAUAAUAAUAACAAUAAUAAUAGUAAUACAUCUAUCCAGCCCAUUAUUCUUGUGUAGAGUUGAGGUGCAAACAAACACCUGUAAGUGUGGACUGCCUUUAUUCAUCAGUCACACAUACAAAACACAACAACAACUAACACAUAAACAACAACAACACAAUCAACACAUCAUUUAAUAACAAACAGACAACACUAACAAAACAAACUGUUAAUAUUCCUUGUAAAUUGUGAAAGAAAACAAAAAAAGGAAAACAAAGAUGAUGAUGAUAAUGGUGGUCUUUCCCCAGCAGGUGGUGACAGAGAGGGUGGCCAGCUUGUCCCUCCCUCCUGCCACCCAGCCACAGCACUGGCAGUUGCUGCAGUGAGACUGCCCAGGCACAAGUUUGUGCACGUGUCCAGGACGUGAAGGUGAUGGGAACGUGUCCUGUAGGAGGGAGCAGAGCUGUAACAGUACCCGAGUCUGCUGCUGUGCUGGGAGGAGGAGAAAAACAUCAGCAGUAGUUAGUAGUGGUAGUAGAAGUAUUCAGCAGUGCUGCUGCUGCUGCUGUCAGUGGUGCAGCUGUUCACUCCUCCACAGCUGCUGCCUUCCCUCAACAUACUGUCUUCCCUCACCUACAAUGAACAACUAUGAACAAUACCUCUCGUGCAAUCAGGCAGCGCUCAGCUGUACUCACCGAUAGACUGACCACUAAGAAUUACCUGUGGGCCACAUGACAAGGCCCACGCCAGCCAGGCUUGGUUGCCAAUCAAUAACAACAACAACAACAACAUCUCGUGCAAUGAAGAACACUGAAUAACAACAACACCUCUCCCCUGCAUCAUCAACAAUCAACAACAUCUGCUUUGUUUCACUCAUGCUGCCCCCUCCCCCCUCUCUCUCUCUCUCUCUCUCUCUCUCUCUCUCUCUCUCUCUCUCUCUCUCUCUCUCUCUCUCUCUCUCUCACCUCACCUCACCUCACCUCACCUCAGCCCACAGUGCCACAGUAUGUCCCCCCACAGUAUGCUUACAAACCCAGUGACUCCCCACAGUCCCUCACCAAUAAGUGACCCCCUCACACACACACACACACAGCAUAACAUACACAAACGCUGCAUCUUGUACAAUGGCCACAAUAAAGAAUGGACACACAAAA